CCUACGGGAGGCUGCAGUGGGGAAUAUUGGACAAUGGGGGGAACCCUGAUCCAGCCAUGCCGCGUGUGUGAAGAAGGCCCUCGGGUUGUAAAGCACUUUCAGUGAGGAAGAACGCCUGGUGGUUAAUACCCAUCAGGAAAGACAUCACUCACAGAAGAAGCACCGGCUAACUCCGUGCCAGCAGCCGCGGUAAUACGGAGGGUGCGAGCGUUAAUCGGAAUUACUGGGCGUAAAGCGCGCGUAGGUGGCUUGAUAAGCCGGUUGUGAAAGCCCCGGGCUCAAUCUGGGAACGGCAUCCGGAACUGUCAAGCUAGAGUGCAGGAGAGGAAGGUAGAAUUCCCGGUGUAGCGGUGAAAUGCGUAGAGAUCGGGAGGAAUACCAGUGGCGAAGGCGGCCUUCUGGACUGACACUGACACUGAGGUGCGAAAGCGUGGGUAGCAAACAGGAUUAGAUACCCCGGUAGUC
rnacentral:rRNA from 1 species